ACGGCUCAGUAACACGUAGUCAACCUAACCUAUGGACGGGAAUAACCUCGGGAAACUGAGAAUAAUGCCCGAUAGAACAUUAUGCCUGGAAUGGUUUAUGUUCCAAAUGAUUUAUCGCCGUAGGAUGGGACUGCGGCCUAUCAGUUUGUUGGUGAGGUAAUGGCCCACCAAGACUAUUACAGGUACGGGCUCUGAGAGGAGUAGCCCGGAGAUGGGUACUGAGACACGGACCCAGGCCCUAUGGGGCGCAGCAGGCGAGAAAACUUUGCAAUGUGCGAAAGCACGACAAGGUUAAUCCGAGUGGUUUCUGCUAAAGAAACCUUUUGUCAGUCCUAGAAACACUGAUGAAUAAGGGGUGGGCAAGUUCUGGUGUCAGCCGCCGCGGUAAAACCAGCACCUCAAGUGGUCAGGAUGAUUAUUGGGCCUAAAGCAUCCGUAGCCGGCUCUGUAAGUUUUCGGUUAAAUCUGUACGCUCAACGUACAGGCUGCCGGGAAUACUGCAGAGCUAGGGAGUGGGAGAGGUAGACGGUACUCGGUAGGAAGGGGUAAAAUCCUUUGAUCUAUUGAUGACCACCUGUGGCGAAGGCGGUCUACCAGAACACGUCCGACGGUGAGGGAUGAAAGCUGGGGGAGCAAACCGGAUUAGAUACCCGGGUAGUCCCAGCUGUAAACUAUGCAAACUCAGUGAUGCAUUGGCUUGUGGCCAAUGCAGUGCUGCAGGGAAGCCGUUAAGUUUGCCGCCUGGGAAGUACGUACGCAAGUAUGAAACUUAAAGGAAUUGGCGGGGGAGCAC
rnacentral:rRNA from 1 species